rnacentral:sRNA from 1 species
AAAAACAAUGGUGUGUUGUUUGAAAACCAGCUGCUUCAAAUUGGACUUAAGUCUGAAUUUCGGCAGAAUUUAGGUCGGAUGUUUAUCUUUUAUGGUAAUAAGACCUCCACGCAGUUCCUAAACUUUACCCCAACACUAAUCUGUUCAGACGACCUUCAGCCUAAUAUCCUUGGCUUCAUUGCCCCAUGCCCGCAGACAGCAUAAUGUGGGGCUUAGAGGAGGCUUUUGAGGAAGAUUUUUGGUUUUCUUAUUUUGUUAAAAUAGCAAGAUAAUUCCAGAUGCUAUAUGAAAAUCAGGCAGUCGUAAUCUGCCCAUGGUGCUGGGCAGCAGAAGGAAAACAGGCAGUCUUCCAUAUUGGAGAGCCAGCUUUUGAUCAUGCACCUAAAAAUACUGUGCACGUGCCUCCUCCCCUUCCAUCUGGCCAGUGUGAGUCCCUUUCCUUUUCAGCUGCUCUUACUCUCCUGUGACGUGAUCUUUAAACCCCUCCUCUCCGAAGCCUCACAGAGCUGCUGCUUGCAGAGCGUGGGAGGCGCUGGUGGGGACUGCAGCGCGGUGCGCACCCCAGCCGAGCUUGUGUGUGCUUCUG